rnacentral:rRNA from 1 species
AUUGAACGCUGGCGGCAGGCCUAACACAUGCAAGUCGAGCGGAUGAGGAGUGCUUGCACUCCGAUUCAGCGGCGGACGGGUGAGUAAUGCCUAGGAAUCUGCCCGAUAGUGGGGGACAACGUUUCGAAAGGAACGCUAAUACCGCAUACGUCCUACGGGAGAAAGUGGGGGCUCUUCGGACCUCACGCUAUCGGAUGAGCCUAGGUCGGAUUAGCUAGUUGGUGGGGUAAAGGCCCACCAAGGCGACGAUCCGUAACUGGUCUGAGAGGAUGAUCAGUCACACUGGAACUGAGACACGGUCCAGACUCCUACGGGAGGCAGCAGUGGGGAAUAUUGGACAAUGGGCGAAAGCCUGAUCCAGCCAUGCCGCGUGUGUGAAGAAGGUCUUCGGAUUGUAGAGCACUUUAAGUUGGGAGGAAGGGCUGUAAGUUAAUACCUUGCAGUUUUGACGUUACCGACAGAAUAAGCACCGGCUAACUUCGUGCCAGCAGCCGCCGUAA